GACGAACGCUGGCGGCGUGCCUAAUACAUGCAAGUCGAGCGGACUGAUUAAGAGCUUGCUCUUAUGACGUUAGCGGCGGACGGGUGAGUAACGCGUGGGCAACCUGCCCUGUAGAUCGGGAUAACACCGAGAAAUCGGUGCUAAUACCGGGUAAUAUCUGAGAUCACAUGAUCUUAGGUUAAAAGAUGGCUCCGGCUAUCACUACAGGAUGGGCCCGCGGCGCAUUAGCUAGUUGGUAAGGUAAUGGCUUACCAAGGCGACGAUGCGUAGCCGACCUGAGAGGGUGAUCGGCCACACUGGGACUGAGACACGGCCCAGACUCCUACGGGAGGCAGCAGUAGGGAAUCUUCCGCAAUGGACGAAAGUCUGACGGAGCAACGCCGCGUGAGUGAUGAAGGGUUUCGGCUCGUAAAGCUCUGUUGUUAGGGAAGAAACAGUACCGAACGAACUAGGUCGGUACCUUGACGGUACCUAACCAGAAAGCCACGGCUAACUACGUG
rnacentral:rRNA from 1 species